CACAGCAAGAAAUACACUAUCAUCCUGUGAUCGAACCCAUAACAGACUUAUCAGAUAGAACGAUUUUGGUAAUAACUUAAGUAAUCCCCGGGUGAAGCUGGCCUGCAUAUGUUACAAGUGUCCUAAUGUGUAACAAAGAUAAAAGAGUACACAACAAACUAGGCUCAUGUGGUUGAUGUUCUACAGCUGAUUAUGACAACUACAGCCUUAAUUUUGUUUACAGAAUAGAUGCACGGACAUCAAGCAGCCUAUAGUGUGUGUUGAAAACCCUGCAAGUUGACCCUGGUUCAAGAAUUGACCUUUGCUAAGAGAAAGCCAAGCAGUAUGAAACCAGACAAUAACUUGGAAAAAGAGCAUUUAUUUUGGUCAGUGCACAUGUAUUAACAGGAAGAGAUAAAGAGAGCUGAAGAGAUGAAUAAAUCAAUUAGUUAUAGUGGUUGCAAGGAUUAAAAAAACAAACCAUUGAAACAUUUUGCCGGACAACUAAUCUGAAAAAAGAAAAUGCUAGAUGGCAGGAAAAAGUAGCAGUUGCCAAAAUGAAAUGUGAAUAUGCUUAACAAAAUAGAACUGUUAGGAGUGGUUCAGGCCAUUUUUUGAAUCAGCUUAUUUUAAGAAAAAUUUUUUACCUUUACGCAUUA